rnacentral:lncRNA from 1 species
AUUGUACUGCCCUCAUCUGCCGCCGAAAACCCUAGGUCACCCACAUCUGUCGCCUCCUCAUCCCUCCAGUUCCACCGCCGCCGCCUCCUCCCCGACUUCCAUGCCCUUCACCGUAGCCACUGCCGCCAUCUCCUCCGCCCCCCGCCCAUCCCCUCCUCCGCCACACUCCGUUGCAACACACUCCCCUCUACUGCCGACAUCCCCCCUGCCCAUCAUCCAUCCGAUCUCCUUCUCAAGCUCAUGACCACGCGGGUAAACCAGGCGUCCGCGCCGAUGGCAGCUCACCUCCCCGGGGCCUCCCCCGCCCCGGAUCCCACUUGAGCAUCUUCUUCGUUGGAUCCGGCUCCGCGGCGGCGGCAGAGGCUUACCUACCAUGGUGAUGACUACAGGAUCUGUCGACUUGGAGGUUGGAGCGAUGGUGCCACCAUGCCACCAUCUCCUCCACCUCUGUUGGCAGCCACGCCCCCAUCCCCUCCACCGCCUCCACC